CCCCUCCCCUCCCGGGGGACGCUCCGGGGCGAGGAGUUUUCGGUCUGCAGUCACCCGGCCCCGGGAGCCAAGCUAGAGGAGGAAGACGGGCCGGGACAGGGGUGGUGCUCGCCAGGCCCCCUACAACCUGGGCACCCGCUAGCUCUUUCGUCCCCGCACCCCGACGCUGGGCACACAACUCCGGCUGCUUCCCGAGCGCCGCUCCGGGAGCGAGCACAUCCCUGCAGCUGUCUGCCGGACAGGGCGGCUGAGCGAUUAGGCGCGGCUAGCGGAACCGAGCGGCGGUGGCUGGGCUUUCCCCACGCUCCCGUCACUAGUUAAGCCGCCAGCCCCGUGGCAGCCGCUCCACAGCCCACUCCCGGGCCUGGGCUCUGACCCGAACGGCUGGCUCCGCCCUGUUGCACCUCAUAACAUCUCCCGCUGCAAACCGUCCAAUCCGGUGACGCUACGACAGUAUGCGACCCAAUCAAGGGCUACCGCUCAAGCCUUCUACCCCGCCCCUCAGCCUCCCCUUCCCACUCCAUCUCGGGAGGUGGCUCACCAGCUCUGAUCCCUAGAGGAGCCUCUAGCUCUGGGGAUAGUGCUUGGCACCUCUUCACCACCCCACCCCUGUCCUCUCCCCGUCUUAUGCACACCCCCCCUCCAGGUCUCUGCCCUGCUGAUGCUGUUGAGGGUCCUUUCGAUCCUCAUUGACAGCUUUUGUGUCUGCCACCAUCCUGAGAGAACAGAACAAAAACCAAGAUGCUGUGGAACGUGUUACCUUUUUCAUCUUUGCUACAAUUGCCUUCUAAAGACUCCUCCUCCUUUCCACACCCAUCGCCUAGGGUCCUGUUUCUUGUGGAGGUUUUUGAAAGAGCACUCAGGAGCUGAUAAAGAAGAAACUGAACCUCACUUUAUUGUUCCUUACAGUGAAAGAGGGCAGACAGAAUUUACAACCAAAUCCAGGCAGAAUUUACCACCAGAACCUGACAUUUAGAGGAGAGAAAUUAACUAGAUCUUUUUUUUUUUUUUUUUUUUUUUUUUUGCAGUAGCCAUGAAAUAUGUAAGGUGUGACUGCCCCUAACCAAAUUAACCAAUAGCCAGGGUGAUAAAUAAUAAAUAAAUGAAAACAGAGCCUACUACUGUA
rnacentral:lncRNA from 1 species